GCUUCUCUCUGGCUGUGUGGCUGCCCCUGCUCCUCCUGAGUCCUCCAGCCUGCGCUCGCAGGCCAGAUUCAGAAAGGGGGCGGGGCUUUAGGGGCUGAAGCCCAGGUCUCCAGGGCCCACUUAGCCCUGAGCUGCAGCCCCUAAAGCCCUUGCAUUCCGGCCCUGCCUGGCGGGAGGGGAGGAGGCUCCGAGAAUGGCGGCCAAUGGGAGCUGCGGGGGGAGCGGUGUCUGCGGGGCAAGCAUAGGGCCUCACAGAGCCACCUGAACUCCCUGCGCACCAAACGGGGGAUGCCCUAGGCAGUAAGUUAUUGCUGUUACAAAAUGGGAAUGAACAAAAGGAGGAAAGAGUCAUGCCUGUGGAUUAUGGACAUGGGUAAAGCAUCUUUGACCAGUGAAAGCCAGUGAGCAAAUCUACUCAGCAACACAUUCACUGUAAAUGCAUCAGACCUGUCAUCCACUCUCUCCACCAACUUCCCAUAGAAUAUCCAGACAAAUUCAGCAUCUCUGUCCUUCCAAAUGCCCGCUGCCCUGGGCUCCAGGAUGGGGACCAUGACUGACUACUCUGCACUUCAGCCCAAUGGAGCUGCAAAGGUGGAUGGACAUUGGAAAUGUGUGCUGUGCCCCCAGGGAACGUUUGAAGCAUGCACAGUAUUAAAGGUGCAAGUCGGAAGAAUGUCUUGGGUUGUGCCAGUAAGAAGAAAGUAGGC